rnacentral:rRNA from 1 species
CUUUUUGCAUGUACCUUAUGAAUAAGGACCGGCUAAUUCCGUGCCAGCAGCCGCGGUAAUACGGAAGGUCCGGGCGUUAUCCGGAUUUAUUGGGUUUAAAGGGAGCGUAGGCCGGAGAUUAAGCGUGUUGUGAAAUGUAGAUGCUCAACAUCUGAACUGCAGCGCGAACUGGUUUCCUUGAGUACGCACAAAGUGGGCGGAAUUCGUGGUGUAGCGGUGAAAUGCUUAGAUAUCACGAAGAACUCCGAUUGCGAAGGCAGCUCACUGGAGCGCAACUGACGCUGAAGCUCGAAAGUGCGGGUAUCGAACAGGAUUAGAUACCCUGGUAGUCCGCACGGUAAACGAUGGAUGCCCGCUGUUGGUCUGAAUAGGUCAGCGGCCAAGCGAAAGCAUUAAGCAUCCCACCUGGGGAGUACGCCGGCAACGGUGAAACUCAAAGGAAUUGACGGGGGCCCGCACAAGCGGAGGAACAUGUGGUUUAAUUCGAUGAUACGCGAGGAACCUUACCCGGGCUUGAAUUGCAGAGGAAGGAUUUGGAGACAAUGACGCCCUUCGGGGCCUCUGUGAAGGUGCUGCAUGGUUGUCGUCAGCUCGUGCCGUGAGGUGUCGGCUUAAGUGCCAUAACGAGCGCAACCCCUCUCCUUAGUUGCCAUCAGUUGAAGCUGGGCACUCUGGGGACACUGCCACCGUAAGGUGUGAGGAAGGUGGGGAUGACGUCAAAUCAGCACGGCCCUUACGUCCGGGGCUACACACGUGUUACAAUGGCAGGUACAGAGAGACGGUCCCUUGCAAAAUGGAUCAAAUCCUUAAAGCCUGUCUCAGUUCGGACUGGGGUCUGCAACCCGACCCCACGAAGCUGGAUUCGCUAGUAAUCGCGCAUCAGCCAUGGCGCGGUGAAUACGUUCCCGGGCCUUGUACACACCGCCCGUCAAGCCAUGAAAGCCGGGGGCGCCUAAAGUCCGUGACCGUAAGGAGCGGCCUAGGGCGAAACUGGUAAUUGGGGCUAAGUCGUAACAAGGUAGCCGUACCGGAAGGUGCGGCUG